GAAUGUUGAAAUGAUCUUUGUCGUAGUAGGAACGCGCAUGGGCAAGGCGGCAUAGCCGCCAGGCGAAGCACCCAUGCGCGGUACUUAGGCCCCGGACGGGGCUUUUUUUAUGCCCAGAA
rnacentral:sRNA from 1 species